UACGUAGGGCGCGAGCGUUGUCCGGAUUUAUUGGGCGUAAAGAGCUCGUAGGCGGCUUGUCGCGUCGACCGUGAAAACUCGCAGCUCAACUGCGAGCCUGCGGUCGAUACGGGCAGGCUAGAGUUCGGUAGGGGAGACUGGAAUUCCUGGUGUAGCGGUGAAAUGCGCAGAUAUCAGGAGGAACACCGAUGGCGAAGGCAGGUCUCUGGGCCGAUACUGACGCUGAGGAGCGAAAGCGUGGGGAGCGAACAGG
rnacentral:rRNA from 1 species